UAAUAUGGAGAGUUUGAUCCUGGCUCAGGAUGAACGCUGGCGGCGUGCCUAAUACAUGCAAGUCGAGCGAACUGAC
rnacentral:rRNA from 1 species